rnacentral:lncRNA from 1 species
UAGGAUUCCAUGUUCCUUCUAAUUUUUUCAAGCAAAAACCUUCCUGAGCUUUUAAAUUGACAUCUGAGAUUUUACUAAAUCAGUACUUUGGAAAUCCAACCUUGCAAGAUAAAUUUUGACUCCAAGCAUGGCAUCCAGGGCCUUCAUGGUCUCUCUUAGUCUCCCCAGACCAGUUUCAAACAUACUGAAUGUUCCUUGCAGUUCUGUAUCUGCUUGCAUUUCUUAUUCCCCCAACCCCCACUACCCCAUGUCCAAAAUCUUUCCUCAGACAUUUCAAGGGCUCAUUUCCCCACCCUGCCUGUUCAUUUUGUCUACCCUCCAUCACUGUGUGUGUUCCUACCAGUCCUGUGUCUCAGUUGUCUUGUUUUGACUUGUCUGCUAGCCCUCUGGACCUGCUCCUCCCAGGAAUGUAUGAAGUCAGCUCACUCUGCAUCUCCAGGGCCUGUCCGAUGAGUGGCUUCAGUGGACAUAGGAUGGGUGGAGCCAAACAGAAAGGAUUCUCCUGGCUAUGUGUCUGCAUCCUGGGGAAGGGACAACAGAUGGUCCUUCCAGGUGGAAGUUGAGUCAACCUAACAUCUAGCAAAUGUUUAUUCAGCACCCACUCUCUGAAGGGCCUGCAGGAAGCCUAAGGACACAAGUGGAAAAGACUUCACAGGGUUUUCCAUGAAGUAGAAUUAAUUCAUGAGGAAAUGCACAACCCUGAGAAACUAUUUUGGUCCCUGGAAGGUCGGCUGAUUUGAAAGACUAAGAGAAGACCCAACAUCAACAGCAAGUCCAGCUCCCAUAUCAGAUCUCUGUUACAUUUUCUAUGAUCACUUCCUUCUCUCUGAGAGCUGGUUUUCUUUUCUGUAGAGUGAAGAUUAGUCACCAUUGCCUCACAGGUCAGUUUGGAGACAGCCUGAGAUGAAUGAUGGGCAGUGCUUUGGAACCUGUAGGACAUUUCUUGCCUCAUUCUCAUCCUGAGCACUCACAACUGAGCACCUGCCUGCUGGGGCUGGAAGUCUGACCUUCUUCCCCACUGUGUGACCCUGAGCACCUUACUCAACCUCUAUGCACGCAGAUUUCUCAUGAUCCCACUGAGGAUAUUAACAGGACAGACAUCAUCCAAUUAUUGUAAGAAUUAACUAAAUAAUGUAUUAGUUAGUGCCUAACAUAAAUACUCAACAAAUAAUAUUUACUUAUGGAGAAGGAGAUGGCAACCCACUCUAGUAUUCUUGCCUGGAGAAUUUCAUGGACAGAGAAGCUUGGCAGACUACAGUCCAUGGAUCACAAAGAGUCGGACAUGACUGGGUGGCUAACACAAUACUUAAAACAAUCUAAUGUUUAUUAGUUUAAUUUUAAAAGUGACACAGGAAAACAAAUUGUGUCAUGUUCUCUCUGGAAUAUAUUUUGUGAUGACAAAGAUCAUGUGAUAAUACACAUAUGAUUAAAUGGUCAAUCCAAUGUUUACAGAAAAAGAGAGUAUCUGUAGCACCUUUAUUUCCCACAGCAAUUCUCCUCAAGGGUAGCCUCUCUUGCUUCUUACAAUUAAUAGUAAUUAGUAUCUUUUAUCAAGUCUAUAAU